CAACCCUCAAGCCUGGCUUGGUGAUGGGGCACUGCCUGUAAAAGGGCAGGCCCUGAAAUAUAGUGGCGAGCUCGCCAGGACCCCGAGCGCAGUAGUUAAACCCUCGCUCUGGAAGGCCCUGGCGGUGCCCUGCCGUUAAACCCCCAACUCUUGAAA
rnacentral:misc_RNA from 1 species